UACGGGGGGGUGCGAGCGUUGUCCGGAAUCACUGGGCGUAAAGGGCGCGUAGGUGGUUUGAUAAGGGUGUGGUGAAAGCCCCGGGGCUCAACCCCGGGUCUGCCGUGCCGACUGUCAAACUCGAGGGCUGUAGAGGCAGACGGAAUUCCGGGUGUAGCGGUGGAAUGCGCAGAGUAUCAGGAGGAACACCGGUGGCGAAGGCGGGACUCUGGGCCGAUACUGACGCUGAGGAGCGAAAGCGUGGGGAGCGAACAGG
rnacentral:rRNA from 1 species